rnacentral:tRNA from 1 species
GGUGGCAUAACCUAACCAGUAGAGUGCCUACCUAGCAAGUGUAAGGCCCUGAGUUCAAAUCCCAGUACCACCA